AUAAAAGAUGUAUUAUAGAAUUGUACACCUGAAACCUAUAUAAUUUUAUUAACCAAUGUCACCCCAAUAAAUCCAAUACUUAAUUAAUUAAUUAAAAAAUUAAAAGAACGUGAUUACUAUCUCAGAUUAAGUCUUAGUCUAAUGGAGAAAUGUACCAAUAAACAAAUAAAGGUAGCUCAUCUGGUUAUGCCUAGUAGAAUUAUCCAUUAUUAAAUAAAUGGGCAUUUAAUACUUCACAUUAGAGCACUGCUUCACUGUAUUGCCCAUGUGAGAGAAACUUCUGCACUUUAAAUAGUUCAGGUGAGUUUGAUUUUGGGAUUCAUAUCGGAAAUCACUUUUUUCUGUUGAUCGGUAUGUUAUGUCAUUUACAAUCAACCAUCACAUAGGUCUCUUGUUUGUUGUGCCUGAGAAGCAGUUGUCUCUCUGAUGCACUCCCCACAACAUGCCAUGUGAAUUUUGGAUAAGCCACAUAGACAGUAUUUUAAAUCAGCUGGGCUCAGCCGUAACUUCCAAUUGGAGAAAACGUGAUCCAACCCUUUAUUGUGAUGUAUCUAAAAAAGUAGUGAACAGAAAUUUUAUUUUAUAAGCCAAUAUUACUCUAGCCUAAGCUGUUUUCCCUUUCUGGUUCUCUAAGUUGGCUUGCUUCAUGACUUUUCUGAGAAAGGAGAAGGUGACCUAAUGCUUUUACUUGAAAAGAGGGGACCAUUACAACUGUCCAGGAAACAUUCCAUGAUAACACCCACGUCUCACCUCCCCACCAGUAAAGUUCUUGAAUGCAGGAUUAGAUUUCCCUCGUGAUUUAUGUCUUGCUCUUAGAGUGUCUGACACAUCAUAAGUGCUUAAAUAACAUUUGAUGCAUGAAAUGAAGAGUGUUCUUUUUAUGUCUGCUGUGUUGGAAAUUACAGUUCAGAAUGGGAAUCAAUAAAAUGUUAUUCUUAAGCUGAGGAAGUGGUAUUGCUAAAAGGAAAUCAAAGCAUGUUUUUUCACCCAUAAUUGAGAGCCACAGGUAGUUCCUUUAUAUUCUCAGCAAUUAAUCAUUAUGAAGUUUACAUAUGAACAGUUUGUAAAAAGUUUAUAUAUUUCUGAUAUACGGUUAAACCCUUAUAUCCAUUUAAUGACAUUACUUUCUUCAGUUUUAAAGCGUUAUAAAUAUACCCAUAUGUGUCAUUUAGCAGAAUUGUAUCCUUAGUCCUCAUACACUAAUAAAUGUAAACCACCAUUGUUGAUUCAAGGAACAUACAUUUUUAAUGAAUUGUUAUUAAUGUUAUUAACUGUUAUUUUAGUGAAUGGGUAUUCAUACCUUCUUUUAAGUUACUUAAACAUUGGAACUGGAAGAAUUGUUGAAUACAAGCAAGUGGUUUUUUAAAUCAGUAUUUCAGGAUAGAUGCAAAGAUAAAUAAAACUUGAUUCUUACCCUCAAAGUGUUUAUGACCAAGUAGGACAAAUAAAUGUGUAAAUGAGUACAGUAUAAGCACAAUAAAGUAGCUUCCAAACCGCAGGUGCAUGCAGCGAGACAAUCACAGGGAGAACUGAUCCGCGCUCGUAAUGAGCAGGGAGGGAGGCGUGGGUAGGCGUUCAACACCAGUUGCUGUUGUAAUGAGAGAGCCAGUUCUUCAACACCGAGACUUCCUUUGUCCUGGUUCGCUCAGUUUUUAAAUACUAAGGCCGAUUUUUAAAUUUUGUGAUUUUGAAAUCUUGUCUAUUGGCUGAAAAUGGAUUUGGAGAAGAAUUUUCUAAGUGAGGAGUGUAACCUGAUGGUUAAGAAUAUGGUUUGAAUCCCAGCUCUGCCACUCACUAACUGUAUAACCUUGGGCAGUUCACUUAACCAGUCUGUGCUUCAGUUUACCAGUCUGUAAAAUGGAAUAAUAAUAAUACCAUGGAGCGUUAUUUGUCUUUAUUUCUUAUUAGAGUAUGCUUUGUCGUGGGUAGACACUUUGUAGCAGAAUAAAUGGAUGGAGACUCUAAGAAGAACAAGACAUCGUGUGUGUGUGUAGGAGAGAGAGAGAAUAGGAAUGUGUGUGUACUAAAAAUCCAGUUGUAGCUCAGUGAAAUCAGAACUAUAGCAAAAACAAGAGUAGGGGAGAUGUAUUUUAGAGGAAACUUUAAUCUGGAAAUUUUGUAUUAUGUCCCAGAUUUCAGGAAGAGAACAAAUGCUUCUUUGCUACUGAAGAUUUUUUUAGAGAACAUUGACUUUUAGGUUUGAAGCAGUUCUGGAAUUCUGAGGAUUCUAAAAGCCUGAAUGCCAAUUAUCUAAGUAUCUUCUCUGCUUUUAAAAACAUUUUCUCUGACUCUUUAAAGGUGAUUAGGGCAAAAUUAAUGGGAGCCCUGUCCCCUUCUAUUUAAUGUCUCAUUAUUCUUUGUGUGAUUUUAACUAGUUCUCUGUGUUUCUGUGUUAGUAAUUCAAAUCAUUUAGUCUGGUGGAGAAAACUGGGCACAUUCCAAAUUCUUUUUUUGUAUCCAAUUAUAUUGUACUCAGUAAAUUCUGCAACUGAUGUCAUACUGAAAGGAUGUUAAAAUGUUAAUGUAAAUUUUUUUAAAUGUUAAAAAUUUAAAAAAUGUUAAUACAAUUUUAUAUGCUAAAAAUGUUAUAUAUGUUCCCUUUUGUAGAUAUCCAAACAUAUAUCAAAGUCAACAAUAUGACAGCUAACACCCAUAUGUCCACUUGUAUUCUACUGUAACCAUUUCAUGCACUUUAUUACAUAUCUCUUCUUUAUUGAUUAUCUAUCAUUCAUUAAUCUAUUUUAUUUUGGGUGCAUUUCAAAAUAAAUUGCAGCUACCAGGACGCUUUCCUCUAAAUACCUCAAGUAUACUUCGUUUUUGAAAAGUUUUUCCCUCUCCAUUUAUGUGCGUUAUUUUAAUUUUGGACUAAACCCACUAUGGUUAAUUCUGCUACUAAGCCUUCUCAUUGUUAAUUAGGUCUGCAUUUCUUUGUGUUUGUGUUUUUUUAAAGGUACUUAAUAGUCCUUUCAGCCAAUUUUUAAAAGUACUCUAUGGCUUAUGUAAUUGUAGCAUUUUUUCUCCCUACAGUUUUCAUGACUUCAGAAUAUCACUGCUGAUGUGAGUUUUAAAGACAAAUCCUAUACCAUUAGACAUUUAAGUACUGCUUACUUUUAAACUAUGUAGAAGGCUUCAACUAGGUUUGAGCUAUUUGUAACCAGGAAUUAUAUACAUAUCCCAUAAUUCCUCAUGGCUCAUAAAUUCUUAAAGAACUCAAAUACUUGUUGAUAUACAGAUUUUUUGAUACCAAUGAUCAAAUAUUUUGGGCACUGUUUAUUGUUAUAAAGUUGAAAGCUUAAAAACAGAUCCCAACUUAAAUUUUUCAUCAGAUUUCAAGAAUUUAUAUUCAUUAUAUAAUGUAUAUUAUAAUGGUAUUCAAAAAAUCAUAAUAGGAAAUUAUGUGAGAGGCAUAUAAUAGUGAGGCAUUGUUCUUAGAAUUACAGGAUAUCCUUCUGUUUUAUAGGCUUUGCAUUGCCAGCUCAUGAAAGAAUAUGAUGACCUACUCUGCAUAUAACUUUUUAUAAAAAUAGUUCUAUUAUUUUAAAAUAACUGAACCAUGGACGUUGAAUUAGAUAACCAUUAUAGAUUUAACAUGUUACUUUAAGAUUGGAUUCCAAGUAGCAAAUAAAAUCCAAACACAUCAAACUAAAAUGAUCUUUUUUACUGUUUUCGUGGUUUCUUCUUCUGUAUAAAAUCUAUGUAGGACAAUGGUUUUUGAAAGUGUUGAAAGUGCAGUCAGAUAAGAACUGGAGUUGGAGGAGACUGAUCCUUUUUCUCUCUGCUCCAUUACGUUUGGAACUCUUGUUACACGUCUGGCUUGAAGGUUCUUUUGGGUCUACCAGAUUUAGUACUUCUUCCCCUAUCUGUAUCAGAUUUUAAUUAUUUAAAAUCAAAAAUAGGCAUGCAAAUUAGAGCUCUGGAUGCCAAGAGACAGAGACCAUGUGAGGACAUUUACAUGCCUCUCAUUCCUUGUCCAUGAAAAUGCCUGAAUAAUGUCUGAACUUUAGUUCUAGCCCUCUGUCUGCAGGUAGAAAUGUUUCGUUAUCUUAAGAGUACUGACCUCCAGUGACGUCUCUGUUUUUUGAAUGAUUGGGCAAGGAAUGUAGAGAGGCCUUCCCCACGUAAUGUUCAGCCAUUUAGAGCAAAGGUUGACCAUCAUUUUUUGCAAAGGACCAAAUAAAUACUUUAGGCACAGAGGACCAUAUGGUCUCUGCCACAGUUGUCCAGCUUUGCUGUUGCAGAAGGGAAGUAGCCAUAGCCAGCUGGUGGACAACUAGAUGUGACUUUGUCCCAGCCAGACUUCAUGUGGAGGAACAAACAGUGGGAUGCACCUUCCCAGCCUGUGCGCUGGAGUUGUGUGUGUUGAAAUACCUGCUGCAAGGACUUUUUUUUUCCCUAAUAACUUGUGGAUGGACACUUUCGUAAAAUAUAAUAAGAAUGAAUUACUGGAACAGGGAAAUUUAAAAAAUAAAAUACAAGGUUAAAAUUUUAGAUUGGCUAAACAAGUUACAUUUUAAUAAAAACAAUUAAAACAAUCAUACAUAAGGAAAAAGAAAAGAAUUAGAAAAAUUAAGUGUUUUAAUUUGAAGUUCUUUUCUAACCUGUUAAUAUAGAGAGUUGCUAUUACUUCAUAACUUUUUUUUGUCAUUCCACAGUAUGAGCUACACAUGAAGUUGAGUGAAAUUGCAAUUCUCACUAGUAAAUGCCUGUAUGUGCACUCGAAGCAAACACUGUAUAUAUCAGUAAAAAAUAUAAUGUGACAAAUGAAGUUGCUUCUUACUGUUAAUUUAUCUGAUCUAGGUUGGAUUAACAACAGUGCUACUGACAAUAGAUAAUGUAUAUCUAAAUUAUUCCUACAUUUUAACCACAUUCAGAGUAGAGAAACCAGACUCACAGGGGUAUGUUGGUAAGAAUUGGAGAAGAGAUUUCAGAGGAAUUUCAGCAAACUCAGGUAUUCAUUUUUAACUUUUUCCCAGCUGAAGCAAGUGAUUGUUUAUUUUCACUCUUUCAUUAGCAGUGAGUUCUAACAAUUUAUCCUGUCGAGCUAUAAUGAAAUUUAAGUUACCUUUCAAUUAAAGAAAUGGGCUCUGGAUUUGUAAGUUUCCAGUAUGUGGAUCUUCUUUUGAUGGGAAAAGAGAGAAAAUAUUCUAUAAAAUUUGUAAGGCACGUAGUGAUAAUUUUUCACUAAUGUACAAUAUCUAAUCAUACCAACUUCAUUAGAAAUUAUUGCUAAAUUAUGGAACAGUUUCAUGAGUUUCUGUAA